GCGGGGAUAGCUCAGUUGGGAGAGCGUUAGACUGAAGCCUUAACUUCGGUUGUUUUCAGACGAAAAAGUCAUCUAAAGGUCGCCGGUUCAAUCCCGGCUCACCGCA